AUUGAACGCUGGCGGCAUGCUUUACACAUGCAAGUCGAACGGUAACAGGUUAAGCUGACGAGUGGCGAACGGGUGAGUAAUGCAUCGGAACGUGCCCGAUCGUGGGGGAUAACGCAGCGAAAGCUGCGCUAAUACCGCAUACGAUCUGAGGAUGAAAGCGGGGGACCGUAAGGCCUCGCGCGAUCGGAGCGGCCGAUGUCAGAUUAGGUAGUUGGUGGGGUAAAGGCGCACCAAGCCGACGAUCUGUAGCUGGUCUGCGAGGACGACCAGCCAGACUGGGACUGAGACCCGGCCCAGACUCCUACGGGAGGCAGCAGUGGGGAAUUUUGGACAAUGGGCGAAAGCCUGAUCCAGCAAUGCCGCGUGCAGGAAGAAGGCCUUCGGGUUGUAAACUGCUUUUGUACGGAGCGAAAAGGCUCUCUCUAAUACAGGGGGCUCAUGACGGUACCGUAAGAAUAAGCACCGGCUAACUACGUGCCAGCAGCCGCAGUAAAAC
rnacentral:rRNA from 1 species